rnacentral:rRNA from 1 species
UUCUCUAUGAUAAAAAUAUAGAGUAUGGUCUGCUCAAUGAUUUUUUAAUAGCCGCAGUAAUUUGACUGUGCUAAGGUAGCAUAAUCAUUUGCUCUAUAAUUGAGAGCUAGAAUGAAUGGUUUAAUAAAUUAAGGUUGUCUUUAUAAAAUAAUUUAAAUUUAAAUUUUUAGUAAAAAUUCUAGAAUGGAAUAAUGGGACGAUAAGACCCUUUUAAGCUUUAUAUAAAUAUUUUUUAAAACAAUUAAUGGAUAUAAAUAUUUUUACUGGGGCGGUGCUGAGAGAAUAUUAUCUCUUUGAAAAUAAAAAGUUAACCAAAAGUUUUGUAUACUAAAAAAGUUACUAAAGGGAUAACAGCAUAAUAUUUCUUUAGAGUUCAAAUUAAAAGAAAAGAUUAUGACCUCGAUGUUGAAUUAAUAUUUCUUUUAGGUGAAGUAGCUUGAAUAGAUAGUCUGUUCGACUAUUUAACUAUUACA